GUGGGGAAUAUUGGACAAUGGGCGAAAGCCUGAUCCAGCCAUGCCGCGUGUGUGAAGAAGGUCUUCGGAUUGUAAAGCACUUUAAGUUGGGAGGAAGGGCAGUAAGUUAAUACCUUGCUGUUUUGACGUUACCGACAGAAUAAGCACCGGCUAACUUCGUGCCAGCAGCCGCGGUAAUACGAAGGGUGCAAGCGUUAAUCGGAAUUACUGGGCGUAAAGCGCGCGUAGGUGGUUUUGUAAGUUGGAGGUGAAAUCCCCGGGCUCAACCUGGGAACUGCCUCCAAAACUGCAUGACUAAAGUACAGUAGAGGGUAGUGGAAGUUCCUGUGUAGCGGUGAAAUGCGUAGAUAUAGGAAGGAACACCAGUGGCGAAGGCGACUACCUGGACUGAUACUGACACUGAGGUGCGAAAGCGUGGGGAGCAAACAGGAUUAGAUACCCUUGUAGUCC
rnacentral:rRNA from 1 species